CUACUGAUGAAGAGUCUCAAGCAGCUAGGACGAAACAGUUGUCCAGUAC
rnacentral:hammerhead_ribozyme from 1 species